rnacentral:rRNA from 1 species
UAGGUUGGUGAGGUAAGGGCUCACCAAGGCAACGAUCCCUAGCUGGUCUGAGAGGAUGAUCAGCCACACUGGAACUGAGACACGGUCCAGACUCCUACGGGAGGCAGCAGUGGGGAAUAUUGCACAAUGGGCGCAAGCCUGAUGCAGCCAUGCCGCGUGUAUGAAGAAGGCCUUCGGGUUGUAAAGUACUUUCAGCAGUGAGGAAGGUUCAUGCGUUAAUAGCGUAUGGAUUUGACGUUAGCUGCAGAAGAAGCACCGGCUAACUCCGUG